UAGUGGCGAACGGGUGAGUAACACGUGGGCAAUCUGCCCUGCACUCUGGGACAAGCCCUGGAAACGGGGUCUAAUACCGGAUAACACUCCUGCACUCAUGUGUGGGGGUUAAAAGCUCCGGCGGUGCAGGAUGAGCCCGCGGCCUAUCAGCUUGUUGGUGAGGUAAUGGCUCACCAAGGCGACGACGGGUAGCCGGCCUGAGAGGGCGACCGGCCACACUGGGACUGAGACACGGCCCAGACUCCUACGGGAGGCAGCAGUGGGGAAUAUUGCACAAUGGGCGAAAGCCUGAUGCAGCGACGCCGCGUGAGGGAUGACGGCCUUCGGGUUGUAAACCUCUUUCAGCAGGGAAGAAGCGAAAGUGACGGUACCUGCAGAAGAAGCGCCGGCUAACUACGUGCCAGCAGCCGCGGUAAUACGUAGGGCGCAAGCGUUGUCCGGAAUUAUUGGGCGUAAAGAGCUCGUAGGCGGCUUGUCAC
rnacentral:rRNA from 1 species